AUUGAACGCUGGCGGCAGGCCUAACACAUGCAAGUCGAGCGGAUGACGGGAGCUUGCUCCUUGAUUCAGCGGCGGACGGGUGAGUAAUGCCUAGGAAUCUGCCUGGUAGUGGGGGACAACGUUUCGAAAGGAACGCUAAUACCGCAUACGUCCUACGGGAGAAAGCAGGGGACCUUCGGGCCUUGCGCUAUCAGAUGAGCCUAGGUCGGAUUAGCUAGUUGGUGAGGUAAUGGCUCACCAAGGCGACGAUCCGUAACUGGUCUGAGAGGAUGAUCAGUCACACUGGAGCUGAGACACGGUCCAGACUCCUACGGGAGGCAGCAGUGGGGAAUAUUGGACAAUGGGCGAAAGCCUGAUCCAGCCAUGCCGCGUGUGUGAAGAAGGUCUUCGGAUUGUAAAGCACUUUAAGUUGGGAGGAAGGGCAGUAAGCUAAUACCUUGCUGUUUUGACGUUGCCGACAGAAUAAGCACCGGCUAACUCUGUGCCAGCCGCCGCCGUAA
rnacentral:rRNA from 1 species